rnacentral:lncRNA from 1 species
AUGUGGCCAAAAAAUAAAAAAUCAACAAUUACUCUUGGACAAUUGGAGAAUGCCAUUUAUAUGAGUGAAUGCCACUCGUCAUUUCUUUCCUGGGCAGAAACCUCCAACACCAGGCUAUCAAGUUCAGAACACUUCAGCUCUAUCCCUGUGAAGCUUUCCCAGGCAUCUUGGGAUCAGGUUCUCUGUAGGAGGAGCGAGCAGGCAGGGAAGAAAGGGCUGGAAAAAGGUUCCAGAUAUACAGCAGGUCUAAGGAAUGGAAGAGAGCUUAACACCUCAGGUGGGCAUCUGCAGGUACCAUCUCCUACUCCCUUGGGUCUGAUUUUCCUAUAGGAAAAGCCAGAUCCCACCUGGCAAGAGGAGAAAAGACCACUUCUAGAGGAAACAUUUAACUUUGCAGCUUGUUCACAUCCUAUCCAGCACCACCUGUAAGUUCUCUCCCCUCUCUCCUGCUCUUGCAAUAGUGGUUGAAGACUGUCCCACCCCUCUCCUUCCAGACUUGCCCUGGGCCUUCUCUUUAUUUCUUUUGUCUUUCUAGCUGCUCCCAGCCUGUCAACUGCUCCUAAUACUGAAGCCUUCCCGGUAGAAUCUGUUGUUACGUGUUUCAUGUUCGUUAUACAAUAUUCAUGCUGGGAGAACCCCAUGGACAGAGGAGCCUGGUGGGCUACUAUUUAUGGGGUUGCUCAUGACUGAGCACACACACAUCCUUACGUUAAAAAGCAGGUGAGGUAAAUGUUUGGGCAUGAUCCCUAUAGAAAAAUGUUCACAAAAUUAAAAUGAACACAAAACCAAACAAAAAACCAACCUCCCCCACUUCUCACAUGAUUGAGGAUAUUCAGUGCUUGUUCACAUGAG